AGAGUUUGAUCCUGGCUCAGGACGAACGCUGGCGGCGUGCUUAACACAUGCAAGUCGAACGAUGAAGUUCCUUCGGGAAUGGAUUAGUGGCGAACGGGUGAGGAACACGUGAGAAACCUGCCUUUCAUUUUGGGAUAACUCCGGGAAACCGGGGCUAAAACCGAAUACUCCGUCUUGGCGGCAUCGCUAAGCCGGGAAAAAAUUUUGAUGAAAGAUGGUCUCGCGGCCUAUCAGCUAGUUGGUGAGGUAAUGGCUCACCAAGGCGACGACGGGUAGCCGGCCUGAGAGGGCGACCGGCCACACUGGGACUGAGACACGGCCCAGACUCCUACGGGAGGCAGCAGUGGGGAAUAUUGGGCAAUGGGCGCAAGCCUGACCCAGCGACGCCGCGUGAGGGAUGAAGGCCUUCGGGUUGUAAACCUCUUUCAGUAGGGAAGAAGCGAAAGUGACGAUACCUAAAGAAGAAGCACCGGCUAACUAUGUGCCAGCAGCCGCGGUAAUACAUAGGGUGCAAGCGUUGUCCGGAAUUAUUGGGCGUAAAGAGCUCGUAGGUCGUUUGCCGCGUCGAUUGUGAAAAUCUGAGGCUCAACCUCAGACCUGCAGUCGAUACGGGCAAACUAGAGUGUGGUAGGGGAGACUGGAAUUCCUGGUGUAGCGGUGGAAUGCGCAGAUAUCAGGAGGAACACCAAUGGCGAAGGCAGGUCUCUGGGCCAUAACUGACACUGAGGAGCGAAAGCGCGGGGAGCGAACAGGAUUAGAUACCCUGGUAGUCCGCGCCGUAAACGAUGGGCACUAGCUGUGAGAGCCUUCCACGGUUCUCGCGACGCAGCAAACGCAUUAAGUGCCCCGCCUGGGGAGUACGAUCGCAAGAUUAAAACUUAAAGGAAUUGACGG
rnacentral:rRNA from 1 species